ACCAACAAUUUUUGAGAUUUUUUUCUUCCUCCUUUGUGUUCCUUCAAAAGAAACAGAAUUAUAGGAUGUAGCACUUGGUUUAUAGCUAAUUUUGGCUUUGCACAGCCAAAGGUUCAUCUCAGACGGCAAAACUUCCAUCCUUUUGCAGUUCACACCCACCCAGUGACACAGGACCCCAGAUCCCUUAAGAGCCCAGUGCCAGCCUAGAGAUAGACUUCUGGAAGCUGAGGGGAUAGACUGCCCCCUCUUCUCUUUUUCUAGAGUUGUCAUCUUGUCUCUCCAACAACAUUUUAGAUAGACUAUAAUAAUUAUGUAUUAAGGUAGGAAUUUUAAAUGUUCUCUUGACCAAACAAAGGUAUCUACUGACAGCCACCCUACCUUUUGCUUCUUUGAGUUAAUAAUGAUGUUUAGUUCUUCUGAGCAUCUUCUAUGCACCACCCACUAUGCACAAGUACUUUAUACACAGUGGCUCAUUCAUUUAGUUAAUAGCCCAUGAUGCUGUGGCCCUAAAGGCAAGCAAAACCAGAAGUGGGAGCUGCCCCAGAGAGUUUAGAGUCUGGCUGAAGAAGCGAGGCUAUAAUGAUUGCACUGGUGAAGGAGUGAGAAGGGGGCGGGGCAGAGGAGCAAGUGCUAGGUAGAACAUCCAUCCAUGAGCAAGAGAUGCUGAGCAAAAGUAGGCUAAGACAGAUGUAAGGAGAAAGGGAAUAGUUCAGCCAGGGGCAUAGUCACAUUCAAAGCUCCAGUGGCAAGACACAGCAGGCUUAUGAAGGCCACCUUGUGCACAGAAGGGUUGGCAUGGUGAAGUGAGGGCUGUUAUGUACCGAGACUAAAAGCCUAUUGAGGGAGGACCCUUAGGAGGUCCACAUGAGGUAGCCUUUUAAGAUUUAGUCUUUACAGUGCUUACUGAAAGUAUCUAAUGUUAAAUUUAUAAAUAAAAUGAAGCAAUAACUAUAGUCACAUGAACAUUUCUACCACCUUUUACCUAUCUUUUAAUCAAGUCUAUUUAGUAUUAUACUUAAAAUGUAAAUUUUCCAAGAAAGUAGAGUUUAGAAACUUGUAUUAGAACUGUUAUUGUGGCAUUCAUUUGUUUUUAUUCACUUUACAUCCCACUCACUAUCCUGGUAACUCCCUCCCACAAUCCUUCCCCCUUCUCCCCUUUCUCCUCUGAGAGGGUGGGGGCCUCUGGGUGUUUCCCCACCCUGGCACAACAAACCUCUGUGAGGCUAGGCUCAUCCUCUCCCACUGAGGCCAGAAGAGGCAGCCCAGCUGGAAGAACAUAUCCCACAGACAGGCAACAGCUUUUGGGAUAGCUCUCACUCCAGUUGUUCAGGACCCACAUGAAGACCAAGCUGCACAUCUGCUACCUAUGUGUGGGGAGGCCUGGGUCCAGCCUAUUGUGGCAUUCUUAAUGGUCAUUCACUGUUCAAAGCAGUGUUCAUCACACUUGGUGAUGCUCCGCAUUUUCAGUGAGUACCACAGGGACUGCUAUAUUUAUUUUUGUUUUUUCUCUCUCCCAUCACCUUGUCCCAGGCAGAAACUGCAGGUUUGGAGCCUGUAGGUCACCCUUGUGCAGUCGUCCUCAGAACAGUGGAUCUAUAGUUACAGCAAUGGGGAUCAUUGUGGAGACAAGUGGUGUGUAGGGGGAGGAUCACCAUUUUGUUGCGUAUGUAGCUGAUGUACAAAGUGUAGAACUCCCGAGCCCUGCUCAAAUUAUGUUUCUUUUUUUUUUUCUUUCUUUUUUUUUAACUUCAAUUUUAGUUCAACUUGGUGGGAAAAUUUAGGCUGGAGGAGAAAAUAUUUACUUCUCUCAUCCUGCGUGAAAAACAUUGCUGAUUUUUUGAUCAUUCCUCUGAGAAUUUCAUACAUUGUGCUUUGAUCACGCUUACUCCUCUCUCCCAACUCUCCACGAUCUGUCCACACUUCUCUACCUGUUCUGAUUUCUCCUGUUCUAAAAGCUAGCCAAACAUGAUAGAUAGCACAUGCCUAUAAUCCCACAACAUGGGAGGAGGGGCAGGAGGAGGAGGAGCAGCCAUUCAGUCUUACUAUCCAGUGAGUCUGAGGUCAGCUUAGACUAUGGCAAACCCUGUCUCAAAACUGUAGCAACAAUAACAAAACAAAAAACAAAAUAAGAAAACCGCCAACUAAUGCUGACUCCAACCAAACCAAACCAAACCCUCCAGUCUCCCAGCUCUAAUAUCAUUUAUAGUACAUAUUAAUACUCCAUGCAGGGCUUACACUAACCUGAUGUAUGUUUACCGAACCUCCAAAAUAUUCAUAUUUUUUUGACACCCUUCCUUGAAAAGGGAGACAACUUCUAUUAUUAGAAUGUAUAAAUCCUAAGUUGUCUCCACUGAAUUAUGCAGGUACUGAAUGGCCACCAUGAGAAAUUAAGUGUGGAACUCUGGGAAAUAUUGGCUUUGCGUGAAGAACCAAUGGGCAUGAGUGGGGAAGACUGACUUUAAAGGCGGGGAAAGAUUUAGAACCAUCAUGAAUCAAAAAUAAAGUUAAGUUUGUACUUCUUUCUCCUAGAUUUAUAAAUGUGGCUGGCAAACGGGACAAAAAGAAUGAUGGUGACAUUCUUGGGUAUUUAUCACCUGUAAAGUAGGAAAUAAAACGCCUUGCCCUCUCAACUUUGCAGUUGCUGAAGGGCUUUAAAGAACGGUCACAUUAUAAUAAUUGAUUCCUGCUUUUUUUGUGAUUAGACCUUGAGAAUGAGAAUGGCAAAAUAAUUCCAUAUCUUAGCAGCCGAGAAUGUCAGGGAUGCACGGGUGGUGACGUGUUUGUUGAAUGAGGUAGAAAUUAAAAAAAAAAAAAUUAAGGCUUCUUGUGGACAGAGCAAACUGAUUUAAAAGCGCUCCAAGAUCCAUGAGGUGUGUGCCAGGUGAUUAAAUGCUAGGAACAGAUCCUUACAGCGAACAAGAUCAAAGCUGGAAAAUUGCUCCGAAUUCUGAUUUUGUACAGCUGUGUGUGUGUGUGUGUGUGUGUGUGUGUGUGUGUGUGUGAGAGAGAGAGAGAGACAGACAGAGAGAGAGAGAGAGAGAGACAGAGACAGAGAGAGACAGACAGACAGACAGACAGAGAGAGACAUACACAGAGACAGAGAGACAUACACACAGACAAAGUCACACAUGGAGAGAGAGACAGACCGAGAGAGAGAGAGAGAGAGAGAGAGAGAGAGAGAGAGAGAGAGAGAGAGAGAGAGAGAGCGCUCAAUCACUUUUCCAACUUGUUUUCUUAGGCAGGGUCUCUCACUGAAUUUGCAGCUCCAUAAUUCAGCUAGGCCUGCAGUCCGUGAGAGCAGCAAGGAUCCUAGCAUCUGUGCCUCCCCAGAGCUUGGAUUACAGACAUUGCUCCUGUGACUUUCAGCAUUGAUGCUACUGAUCUGAACUCAAGUCCUCACACUUGAGUAGCAAGCACUGUUACCCCUGAGCCACUCCCACUAGCCAUGAGGUGAUUCUUUAUUAUGUCAGGAGCCUUGUUAGCCUGGUACCCAAGGCCCCCGGCAUUGUCUCAGAUGGGCUGCCUGGACAUCUUUUUAGACACAAUUCGACACCUCCUGUCCUAACCAUUCUGCCAUAUCCUGGAAUCAGGAUCUGGACCCCCCAAGUCCUUUCCUAUCCAAUGGAUACUCAGUUAAACCUUUCUGACUUCAGUUUCGGGUCUCAUUUUUAGUGACAUAUGUGAGUGAUGGGACACCUUGACUGUCAGGCCCAGCAGCAAUCCUAGAGAAAGCACCUCAGCUGAGGUCACCUGAAGAAGGUCUGUUUAUUAUUUUUUUUAUUGACACAAGGUUUUAUUUAGUCCUGAAUUGAUUACAUUGCCAAGGUUGGCCUUGAACUCUGGUCCUCCUGGCUCCAGGUCCUAAGGGGUAGGAUUAUAGGCCUGUGCCACCAUGCCUGAUUUAUUUAGUGCUUAGGAUCAAACCCAGGGCUUUGUGCAUGCUAGGCAAGCACUCUACCAACCGAGCUGUAUCUAUAGUCUGAAAGUCUGUUGAGAUGAUGAAAUAACCUUUGGAAUGCUCCAGCCGAGUUCUCACUGGGGUCUUAGGGGUUAGCCUGGCUCAACUCGGCAACUUCUCGUUUGCUGUUGAAUUGCUGAAGAGUUUUAAUCAUGAACCCCGAAGGACUGCUAUUUUGAAAGGAGGCAGAAUACAAGUGUUCAUGGGGAUGUAGGAAUUAGCUUUGUGGACACAGUCUCUCCAAGAGAGAAAAACCUGCAGCAGUUUCUAAGAUGAUUUAUUAGACACUUGUAGAAUUUGCUAGAAAUCUACCAGGAGGAAAUCAUCUGGGAAGAAGUUAAUGAACCAGACAAAACACUUGAUAAUGCAAUUAGAAUUCUAGGAGACGGAGGGGUUUCUUCCCAGAGAGAGGAGAUGGGGGAUUCGGGGUGAGAACGUGGAGGCUGAGGUUGGAAAAAGAAGUGUAACUAACUGUUUACAGAGUAUAGCUAUCAGAGGCUGGGAGGAGAAGAUGGGCUGAUGAUUCAGUACACUGAGUUAGGGUGCCCAGCUGGGUGGAGACAGACUCUCAGCAUGGCUUCAGCUGAGUGCUGUGUGGCUCUGAGCAAAGCGAGAUUGCUAGCGGCAAAAAUCUGGAUUCCCAUCCCAGGGACUGGGGGAAGACAGCCACAGGAGGAUGCUCACGGUUCUCUAGUAGCUUGAGGCAACAGUAAAUUUCUCCCUGCUUUUGUUUGGGUCUGAUAUUUUUUUUUCCUUUUAAAUCUCUUCUUAGCAGAGUUGGAAAUCAACACAAUAAAGCUCUAUAAGCUUUAUAUACUCUGACCUUAUUUCCUUCAGCCUCACAGAUGAUCGAGUGGCCAAGCAUGGUACCAUAACUGAAUAUAUACGGGGGAAAUUUCUGACCACGUCCUUGUCCUGGGCACUGCAAUGAGGACUAUACAUAACACAGGUUAUGUUUGAUUUAUAUGAAUGUAAAACCUAAAUAAAAAUGCAAGGAGAUGUGACUGCAAGCCCCAUCUUACCUAUAUCAGUUCUUUAGCAUGGUAGGGAUAUGUUUAAUAUUUUUAUUGUCAUCCUCAAACAUCCCUUCCUUUAAAUGUAUAUUGUGGUCACACAAUACUGUCUCCUUUCCCAAGGGCUUUCAUGUCCUCUAACUGGAAUGUUACAUGUUAAGCGUGAGAUUGUCCUAUGGAACAAAGCCAGCAUGUGAGAUGUACACACGAGGCAGCCUUAUUGAGGUACCUGCCCUUGAAGACCACAAGCUCCUACUGCUCCGUAGUCUUGGCCAGGCUGACAGCUCCAUGCUUCCUGCCACACAGCUUGGGUCUCAGCCCCCUUGGUGCUCCUAGCUCUUGCCACGGGCCAUUACUGCUCUGGGAGACCUUGGUGGAGGUCUCUCCCUGUCUCUGGGUAGAAAUUACUAUGAGGGCAUGCAAGUUCUACAUUAUAUCCAGUAACUUCCUACCUCCCAGAAUGGAAGUGUUUCAAAAAAUAACAUGAAGAGAUGCUGAAAUCAGAACAUUUUUCUCCUAGUGACCUGUAGGUUUUUGCUACUAUGCCUUUCAAAGAAGUCUUCCUUUUGCCUGUUUCUCCUAAAACCGUUCUCCAUUGUUCCUUUCAAAGAAAUGACUUAGCACCAAUGAUAACCCAAUGAUGUCCAAGAAAGUUGGCCUUUCGAGAUGCACAUCCAUCAUUAUACCUGUCUCCAUGGAUGCCUGUAGCCCCCAAUUUUGGAAGCCUGGCUGCCCUCACUUCCUGUAGUGCUGCUUUAUCUUUUAGUCCCCAGAGCUUUGGCUGCUCAUCUGACGUGUCCACAUUCAGAGCUGCCACCAUGCCUUAGAGUCUCUAGACACAGCACAGUCUUGAACACUGCUGGCAUCUAGAAAAGAACUUUUACUUAUGCUUUGAAGGAAGACUGUGAGGUGCACACUGGCCCAGUCACUGUGACAGAGCCACAGGCUCUUGGUCAACCUGGUGAUUCUAGACUGGGACAGUGUGCCGUGAAAUCCCUCUCCUUCUUCAACAAUAACCAGGAGGACUUACACAGGAGUAAGGUAUCACCCUGACAUCCAUUUCACUUCCAAAGCUGCAAAUCACUCCUGAAGGAAACAGCAUGGUUUCCUGUGCACAUACUGUUGGGCUGCAGCUGUAGCAGAGCCAACCUCAUCACUCUCUAGAAUGCAAGUCACCUGGUGACAGGGACUGUCCUCUCCAUCUUAUGGUAUGGUGACAGGUAGGAGGCAUCUAUGUGUGCUAGAGGAACCCAUGGCACACCUGCCACUGAGUCAGACAGUCUUGUGUCACAAUCCUGUUUCUGUUACCCACUGGCUGGGUGACCCCAACAAACCAGUCAUUCUACAGCCUUGACUGUCAUCUGUAAAAUGGAAAUAACAAGAGUGUCUAUACUGGGUAGGUGUUGUGAGGAUGACAUGAGAGUCCUGUUCCUAAAGUAUGUCUAUGACAAUCAUUCUCCACAGUAGUGUAUCAUGAAGAUGACAACCAAGUAUCUUGUGCUGGGUCCUCACUGGCAAUUCAAGGGCCCAAGACACAGCAGUGAACCUCUUCAUAUUGCCCUAACUGUGGACUCUGAAGCCCUCAGUUGGGGGAGGGGGAAGAGGCUCAAUAUUUUGUACCAAUGUCUUCUUGGUGAUAUCCUUCCUCCUUCGGUCUGGGGGAACGUGUACUUCCUCUCAGGUUCCAGACGUUCAAUGUAAUGUUUUAGUUUAUGUAGUUAGGGAGAAGUCAGACAAGCACUCAGGACAACACAGACUUUAAAUGCCUAGCCCAAUGAUAUAAAACCUGGACACACAAACUUCCCACGGAAAGAAAAUGAAGACAAAACCAAAACCAAAAUCCCAGGUGCAGGGAAAGAGAAAGGCAAUCCUUGUUAAAAGUCACUCCAAGCAGGAAUGCAUGGCUGUGGCUUUACAUGGAGAACAUGGCAACUGGUGUCCAAGCUGCAUAGAGCAUGCACUACAAGUUACACCCGACAGUCACUUCAUAACUACAUAAAGAGGAACACAGUGCAGAUGUGGUUAGUGUGACUUUGGGUGGGGAGGGCUGGCAUGUUUUUCUUCCCACCUCCUGUUGGUGAAAAUAUUUGCUACAAAGGACGGUAACUUCCUUCUAUCUUUCGGAGACUCCCAAAAUAGAAAGCAGCUGCUUGAUAAGGCAAAAUUGGCUUGUAAUUUUCUGAGUUUCCUUUUAUUAAGAUGCAUGCCACUUUUAAUGUAAUAAGCCUUGGCACUGUGGGUGGAUAGGGGAAUAGAUGGUUGCCAUGUAUGGAGAAACAGGAGUGUGUUGUCAGGGUAAACUGCUUAACACGCUGGGAGAAAACUGUGGUUCCCCCAGAUGUCGCUCAAAUUAACUCUGCGCCCAUUGCUAGGAGGCUGUGCAUAGUAAAUCCGGCCUGUGUUAUUCGGGUCAUGUGUUCCUUUUCACAAAAGAGAGAUGCUUGGGACUUUGGAUUUCUUUAGCCAGAAGCAUGCAAAAUGCAGGGGAUGGGUGUAUAAAAAGAUGAGCUCUAACUGGAGUCUGACAGAUGCCUUCUUUCCUUUGCAACAAAUGCUACAGCAUGGGAGAGGAAUUUUACUGCUGAAGAACACGUCAUAUCAGGAGAAAUGAAAGCAGCAUUUUAUACUCCUCUCUCCCUCUCCUUUUCUCUUUCUUUUGCAACACUGGGGAUUUGAACUUAGGGUCUUGUGUACCCACUUUACCAUGGAGCUACAUAUAUACAUGCAUUUACAUAUAUGCAUGGGUCUAUGUAUGCAUAUAUGUGCUUGUGCAUAUGUGUGUAAGGCACAUGUGUGAUUGCACAUGUGUAAAGACUGGAGGUUAAUACCAGGUAUGUUUCUUGAUCACUCUCCACUCUACAUUUACUGAGGCAGAGUCCCUCCCUAAACCCAGAGCUCACCAGUUUAGUUAUCUAGCUAGCCAGCUUGCUAUAGACAUCCUUUGUUUCUACCUUCUGAGCACUAGGAUUACAGAUGGGCUUCCACCCAACAUUUCAUUACUUUUUAGAAACAGUUUUUACAUUUGUGUUUCAUUGUGCAUGUGCAUCCUUUGUAUGGUAUUAUGGGGGAACAUGUAGAUGCCAUGUCACAUGUAAAGGUCACAGGACAACUUGUGGAGUCAGUUCUCUCUUUUCACACUUAUUUGGGUUCUGAACCUUACAGAACUCAGGUCACCCAGUUUCUGUGGUAAAUGCUUUGCCUACUGGGCCAUUUCAAGAACACUUGAUACUUGAUACUUAAAAGACCUUUAUAGCCAGCCAAUCUCAUCUCGCUCUGAAUAUUUAUGAUUUAGAUUUCUUCAGAAUUUGGGGUAGGAGGAGAUUUAAAUAUAUAUGUUCUUGGGUCAUUUCUUAAUAGUUGUAUUAAAUUGUAUUAAAUAGUGAGUAAAUUCAAAGACAUCCAAGGUAACAGAUAUAUAAAGAAUGCUACAAUGGUACCUAUUUGAAUUCACUACCUCUUGAGAAAAACACUUCGAGCUUGAUUGACAAAUAAAGUACCAGGACUAGCCAAGCAAACAAAGUGGCCUUGGGGAAGGACUUGCUGUCCCUGUCAUCAGGAAUCCCUGCAUGGCUGUAGUGCCAUGUAAGAGCUAUUGAGUGCCCAAUCAACAGGACAGAACAGAAAAGCCAGGGGCAGGUUCCAACACAUGGAAAAACUGACAUUUCCUCUUCAUGGGUGGAGAGUUGGACUUUUAUCUAAGGGAUACUAGAAAAUUCAUUGAUGGAAAAAAAAAUGGAGUUGGACUCCAACACUGUAUCAUACACAAGGGUACAGAAAAGACAAGACUGAUGAAAAUCUGUACAUAAACUUAUAAAAUAUGCAUGGAAGAGAAUAAAGGAGGCUAUCUUUAUGGCUUUGAGGUAGAAAACACACUCCUAACAGAUGCAAAAUGCAAACCACAAUAAAAAAUGAUGUAUUUGGUUCCCUGGACGAUGUCAGAAAGACUCACAGAUCUGUGCAAGUACGUUAGAGACUUUCCAAUUCUUUGAUUUAAUGAGUUGGUACACAGGCUAUGCCUUUAGAAAUCUCAAAAGCCAUGAGGAAAAGAUGGAAAAACCCAACAGAGAAAUAGCAGGCCACUUCACACACAAUAAGGAAACUUAAAUAUAGAAAAUACACAUAACACAUAAAAUCUGGAACCUCAUUAAAACAUGCUUAAGUGAUAUGAGGUAUAUCUCUCCUUAGUCACUUUGAAAAAAAUAAGAAGUCAGAUGACACUAAGUGUUUGCUGUAUUAUUGUAGUGGGUUGGCCUGAUGCUGCUUGUAUUCUAAUGCUAAUUUGGGGCCCCCAAACUAGUUGCCCCAGAGACAAACACUGAUUGGUAAAUAAAGGUGCCAAUACCCAGGGUAGAAGAGACAUAGGUGGGGGUUAUAUUUCAAGAGCUUGGGGUCAGAGAGGAGGAGGAGGAGGAGGAAGAAGAAGCCGCUAUGGGUUAAGGGUCAAUAGAGCACAAUCCUGAGGGCUGCCCAAUUGCACUUAAGAGCAGCCCAGAUGGAACACAGUAAAUAGUAAGUAAUAACUCCGGGUUAUUGAUAGGAAAGUAGAUUCUAACAGCAUGGAGGGUAGGUACCUGUCAGCUAUUGUGCUGAUCAAGGCUGGGAUUUUAAUAAUUAUUACUACAUAUUAUAUUCACUUUUCUCUUGGUGAUGAUGUAAGAUGAGAUGGUACCUGUGUGAUGAGGUGGAUUAACUUGGCAGUGGGGGACACAGUUGUAGAUGCCCAUAGAAUCUCUCAGAAGUGUCACAAUGACACUGACAAUGCCGAUUCUAAGUGAAUCUUCCCAAAGUGAAUGUAUGCGUAAGGGAGGCCUGACACUUCCCCUUCAAUGGUUUUCUUCCUACUCCUACCUCUUUGUCUCUCUCUAGUUACCCGUACUUCUCCCAGAGCAGUGGUUCCUCAGGUGCAGCAUCCGGUCUAGCAGUACAUCAUAUACUUAAGUAAGUCAUAGCACUUAAGGAUGGAGCCUGAUGCCCAGGGUUCUAAUAAGCCCCAGAGGAGACUCCAACGCAAGGUUUAGUCUGAGAAAAACCCUGGGAGAAUUUCUGAACCUUGAGACUGGUUUAAAGAUGUAAGCGCAAGUGAGAUUCAUUUCCCUACAUUUUGCAAUUUUGACAAGUUAUAUAUCAACGAGAUAAGAAGUUAAAAAAAAAGUGGUGUGAGAGAGUAUCUUUCAUCUCCCAUGAGUACUGGGCUGGAGGAUGAGGUGAAGGAGACAUGCAUAGAGUGGAGACCCACGUGGAGAUCAACAUGGAAGUACCUCAUGAAAGGGUCAUCCUCUAGUGCAGUGGUUCUCAACCUGUGGGCCUCAACCCCUUUGGGGGAGGGUCACAUAGCACAUAUCCUACAUAUCAGAUACUUAUAUUACAAUUCAUAGCAGUGAAAUUACAGUUAUGAAGUAGCAACAAAAUAAUCUUUGGCGGUCACCACAAUAUGAGGAACUGUAUUAGAAGGUUGCAGCAUUAGCAAGGUGGAGAACGGCUCUCUAAUGGUUAGCGUCUAACCCAACACACAAGAUACAUCCUAAACACAUGUAAUAGGAGGACCACAAAUGAUUGGCUGGUGGUUAGUUUUCAUGGUCAGCUUGACAGAUUUAAGAUUAUCAUGGAAAUACACCACUGAGUGCAUUCAUGUGGAUAUUCCCAGAAAUCCAUCCUUGAUAAGAAAAAGCAAGAAAAAAAUAUCCAUCCUUGACAUGUGGGUGGGACCAUCUCACAGGCUGGGGUCCUGGACUGACUGAAAAGGAGACAGUGAGGUGUAUGCUAGCACUCGCCUCUUUUUGAUUCUUGGUUGUAGAUGUGUGCACUGUGACCAGCUGUUUCACGCUCCAGCUGCCAUGUUUUCCUGCUGGGAGAUGGACUGUACCCCCCAAACUGUGAGCCUAAAUAAACUCAUCCCCCUUGUUCUGAUAAAGUACCUGAUCACAGAAAGUGGAAAAUAACUAAGAAAAUGGGUCAAUGUUUUUAUUUUUAUAUAUUUUUUUUUGUGGUCCUGGGAAUGGAACGUUGGGCUGCACACUCUGCUCCUAAACUGAAUGAUGCUCCUAAACUGAAUGAUGCUUAACUGGAAGAUCCAGUGGGAAGUUAACCUGAACUGCCUCCCCCGGAAGUAGAGUCAGCUGUCAUGUUUUGUCAUCGUGGUCAUUGCUGAAUGUCUCAGCAGCAGAAGGAUGCCGGUACUCAAACUCACUUCUUCUCAGAAUUCUGAAAAUAAAGAGUAGCAAUGUCUGUCCUAAAAAUACAUUCUGUUCUGGCAGAAGUCUGCCUAUCUCCAUCCACGGUGCUGGAAAUUAAUUAAAUUAUAGUCCUCAUUACAGUAUCGAGGGGAAUGUCUGCGCAAGCAGGAGGAAGUAUGGAUUUAGCAAGAAUGCUACUUUAGAGGGGUGCUGGACAGAGCACAAAUGGCGGCACUGUGGGUGCACACAGAUGUACAAUGAAUUUUUACAGACAAAUGUACCAUAACCUAUUUUACAUGUGUGAACUGGACAUUAUUGAAUAGUUUACUUUAAAAAUGUUAUUGUGCAAGGACUGGAGAUACAGCUUAUGGUUAAGUUAGUCAAGUGUUUGCCUGAUAUCUGUGAGGCCUUGAGUUCAAUUUUCAGUGCUGAAAAAAAAAUAACCAACAGGUUUCUCAAGGGAAGUAACUUUUAAGAAGCCAACAGAUGGUUAAGCUUGCCGUCUGCAGCUAUGUGCCUGCAAUGUGACUUCUGUGCUGCCUACGCAUCUAGCACGGACUUCGGAAAACUUGCCAGAAAAGCAUUGGUCCAGCUUUUUCCAAGAUUUUUGGCUUCACUGAGAAGUGAGACCAGUGUGAACAUGCAUUGUACUCCCUGAGGGUUCACAGGAUAUGGAUUGAUUGAUGAUGGUCCCAGCUCCUGACAUACUGACUCAGUAGGUCUCAGGGCUGGGCUCUGCUGCUCCGGGAGCACCUUUGAGAACUAGUGAGAUAAAGGAAAUGGUAUCUUCCAUAGUCAGAUAAACUGUCUUUCAUCUUUGACUCAAAUCAAGGGUUGGGUGCAAAGACAGUUAGUUGCACAUUUCUGCCAACAAUGUCUCUUCAUUUUUGCACUAUUUCAGUUUACUCUUUAUCCUGAACUGAUAUGUCUAAUCAUACUCUUAUGAAAAAUAUUUUCCUGCUAGGCAGGAGACCAGAUAUGUCAAAGGAACAUUUUCUCUGGAGUUUACCAAUGGACUUAUAACUCAGUGUGCCCUUGCAUGCCCUUGGAGAGCUUGAGGAAAAGUGGGUCGUUCUGAGUAGGACAAAUUCACUCCUGACACUUGUCAGGGCAGCAUUUGAUGGUCAACAGCUCGGCCGACUACAUUUCACCCACAGCGUGACACCUGUCACAUAAAUGAAGGUGCUUCUGUUAGGAGUCGGUUUUCUAGGCUUUGGGACCCGAGCUGCUUUCCUGCUUGACCCUACAGUGGUGAGAGAACACAGGGUAUGAGCACAGGUGUGGCCCUACUCGGAACGGCUGACCUGACAGCAUUCUUUUCUGUAGCCUCCACCCCUACCGUUUAACCAUGACCCAUCAUGCAUCAUUAAUGAGCACAAUGGAACUCAUCUAUUAAACCUUAGUUUCUUUUCAUGCUUCCAUAUGUUUCUUCUUCUUACCUACCAUGGCAGGUGUGUGGGUGACAGGGACACAGAGUGACGGGCUGAUGAUUCCCCUGUAGGCCUAUUGAACUCGCCUCAUUGGUAAUAGAGACAAGGGCUCAUCUAUCAUUGCUAAAACCCACCUUGGACCAACGUGGGACCCAUUUAAUACAGUUCAAGUUCGGAAUUUGAGAAGGAGUCUUGAUGGUUACUGGGUUAUAUGGCAAGACUAGGGCACCCCAGAGAAUGAUGCAAAGCACUUCAUGGGGCUGACAUUUUUGGGGGUGGGCGGGAGGCUUGAGAUGGGUAAUAAGGUGUAGAAACUCCCAGGAAGGGGAACCACACAGAGAUUAAGGAUGCAGAGAGGCAGUCUUGGUCAGAGAAGGUCUGUGAAGGGAAAGCCCAUUGCAAAGUCUUAAGGAGGGAUGUAAGUAGGUAUAGGUACUGAAAGGGGACCCCAGGACCAGGGCAGAUGAAUAAUGGCAGGAAGCUUAUGGGGAAUACUAGAAGGGGCUCAGGGACACACAGUUUUGAAGGCCACCACGAAGCAGUUCCCUUUAUUCUAAUGGCUCCAGGGAGUCACUGAGCACGGGCUGUGUAGAAGAUCCUUGGCACAUGAUUGGUUGAGCCCUCAAGAUGAGUGAACCAAAUAACAAAAGCUAUGCAGUACCCUCCAGCCUCCAGCCUCACUGCCUGGGUCCAGUCACUGCCAUUAUGUGCAGUUCCCCAUCCUCUUUCUACAUACAUAUUGACUAUACCUACUUCUCAUUCCUCAAAGCCACUAAAGAAUUCAAGGUGCCCAAGGCAAGGAUAUCUGGAGAAUAAUAAGGCUUCCUGAGUUCAUAGUGUAACAGGGAAGACAGCAUUAAUAUGAUAACAUGGAUGUGAGGCAGAGAGACAUGAAGGGAAAUGACAGCGGGCAGGGCACUUAAGGCACGCUCUGUAGGAACAGAUUAGAGAUCCAUGGCAUCGAAGGGGUGAUGCUCAAUGUAGGGAUACUGUCGUGCUGGGGAGCACAGUGGCUUGCUUUAUAGGGAUAGGAUGGUACUGUGUGGUAUGGUAGAAAUUCUCAGUGUGGGGAAGCCAUGGCAUGCUGGGAAAGUUCAUGCAGGGAUUUAGCAAUGAGCAGGGUAUGGCAGAAAGAGGGCAUAUGGAGAUAGUGUAAUACCCAGGGCACGGUGAGAAAGCUCUAUGUAGGGAUACAGCAGUGGGUGGAGCAUGGAAGAAGGGGUUGGAGCAUGAUGGGAAGGCUCUAUGUAAGAAUGCAGGGCUGGUACAGGGUAGGGAUGGUCCAUGUAGGGAUACAGCAGUGGGUGGGGCAUGAUGGGAAUAUCCCAUGUAGGGAUGGAGCAGUAGACAGGGGCAUGAUGGGAAGGCUCCAUGCAGGCCUUGAUUCCACCUCAGGCCAUUCUGUUUUCACUUCUUAACACUAAAGCAAUUUAUGAUCCACUGUUUAACAACGAGUAAAUAGCAUGUAGUGACAGAUACAUACGCACAUUUAAAUAGUGACUCUUGGGGCCAUAAACAGUUCCAUUCUCAUAAGGGGGUCUCAAUUUACUUAGGUAGAAAGAUAACCUAAUUUAAAAAAAACUGUAUUUGCAAAAGUGGUCUCACAGAAUUACUCAGGCUACCGUUGAGCUCACCCUGUAGCCCAGGUAGUCUCGAACCUGUGAUCCUCUUGCCUCUGCCUUUUCCCGCAGCUGGGGUGACAGACCUGGACUGCUAGGCCUGGGCAAAUCUUCUGUUUUCAAACCUUUUUCACCCAAAAUGAAUUCAGAAGGAAAACUAGCAACGAAAACAGUGCUUUUUAGCGUUGACAGGCUGCUUAAGCAAACACACUCCUAUUUGCAGGAAAUCUUGGCCUGGUUCAGCACUGCUGUGUGGAGGUCAAGUUUAUGUUCAUCCAAUUAACUGCCACCGACUCUGUCCAUACUUAAUCAUGCCACUGCCCGGCUGCUUCACAGCAGACUCACGGUUGCUCUACAGCAGUAAACGCAUCUAAUUGAGUAUUGCACACAGCUAAUUAAAUAUGAAAACAGGAUUGUGUGCAGUCAAGUUUCCAGCCUGCCUCAUAAACUUGCUGAUUCUAAUUUGUAUUUACCAGAGAAAUCUGGGCUUUCCUAGCCUACGAGUUAAUAGGUUGAGGGGGGAAAAAGGGUCACAAACAAGGACAGCUGCUAUGUUCGGGGAUGGCACUGGGUAAAGUAUAUGCUUUUUAAAGACUAGCAACUCUCCUGCAGAAGGCACAGCUUUAAUCUUAAUACCAAGGCCAAAGGGCUUUUUAAGAUCAUCCAUUCGGGGAAAAGCCUGGAGGUUAGUGGGAACUUUCUGCUACUUUGGAGGUGACUUCUCUUUGCCCACCACACGCCCUUCGUGUGGCUUGACAGAGUGAAAUGACAAGCUUCAAGGGGGUCUGCUUUAGUACAGGCUCUUCAACCACACAGGUGAAAGCAGUCUCAACAUUCUCUCUCUCUCUCUCUCUCCCUCUCCCUCUCCCUCUCCCUCUCUCUCUCUCUCUCUCUCCCCCCCACUCUGCCUCUCUCCCUCUCCCUCCCCCUCUGUUAUGUAUGUACACUAAUGUCUGUGUACCUAAAGGAGAGAGGUCAACCUCUACCAUAAUUCCGAGGAGCCACCAACUUUUUAUUUUUGACACAGGUUUGUUUGUCAUUGGGUAGUCUCUAUCAGAAUUACUUCCUUGUGGUCUCAGCACAAUUCUCAAAGACUGCUUAUCUGAGCUUGUGGGCUCUUUCUGUCUCUGCAUUCUCAGCUCUGAGAUUACAAGUGAGCGCAAUGAAACCUGGCUUCUGUGAGUGUUGAGGAUGGAACUUGUGUCCUCGUGCUUGCACUGACUGUAAUCACUUUACCCCGGUGGAGUUGGUCAUGCACUCACUGGCACUGCUGGAAAUGAUUUGUGUAAGGAAAGCUUCUCAGACCUGAGAAUUGUGGUGCAGAUAUGACACCCAGCCCCACUUAUAACUCCUUUGAAUGUCAACUGCUUCAUCUUUGAUUGGGGAUAAUAAUAUCUCCUGUCUCCAACCUGCUGUGUGAAUUCAAUGGGAAACCAGACGACCGGCAUUUAGCAUAUUGCCAGUACACACCAAGCAUGCUGUAGGUAAUGUUGCAGAUGUGUGGAAGUGUGUUUUUCUGGCGUGCAAACUUCAGGUAAGUGAGUUAGUUAGAGUUUUCAGUGGGAAACAGAAUUCCCUAUCAGUUCCCUGUUGACUCCUGACUCCUCAGAGUUCUUUUGGUUGGAUGCCACCUCUGAUCUUUUUUAUUCCUUUCUCUAACUCUCCACAGGAAGACCUACAAAAUACCCAGACAGCCAUUCCACCUUUCCUGCUAGCCCAGCUGACAUCCAGCCUGCCCUGGAAUCACAGUGUCCAGCUAACAGAGUCGCCUUGAAUGAGUAUUUUCCUUCCUUUCCACCCAGAACUUGGCACCCGUCCUCAUCUGCCUUGCAGGCCUGGAGCCUCGAGGCUAGAACAUGAGCUUCUCUGUGCCAUCCAAUUCCCCAAGGAGAAGAAGGUUAUUCCUUUGACGACCUCCGAGUAUCUUUCUUUUUGGGCAUCUUUUUUUCUUUUCCUUGAAUUAGGGGGUCCAAGUUACCUGAUCUUUUCAGCUGCUAAUCUAAACUUCCCACUUCCAGAAUGCACAGAUUCUAGAUCAAGGCCUCCACUGGAAUACUGCAGGUAUAAAUGCCCAAGAAACUGCAGCCCAGUUUCUACUCUACUGCUCUGACAAGCCCAGGGUGGGAAGAGGCUUGCUUUUUCUCCUCAAAAGUAUUCAAGUGUUCCUCAAGGUCUCAGCACAAGGGUGUCAAUGACUAUGCCACCCUUUAGCAAGCAGGCAAGCUGGGGAGUUGUUGUUGUUCUAAUGUGAUUAAAGGUACAAUAAGGUGUGUGUGUGUGUGUGUGUGUGUGUGUGUGUGUGCACAACCAGAGGCAAAGCCAUUGUUCUGCACCAUUAAGCUCACAGCAGUCUCCCAAAGAAAUUAUAGGCGGCUUGCCGAUGGCCCUAAUGAAGAGCAUCUCUUUGAAUUAUCUCUGGAUGAGGAUAGGAUCAAGCCAGAGCCUUAGAAUAUUUGAUCCUCUUUGUGCUGCUGUUAUGAAGGCUUACUGAAGCCAGACACCCUGGACUUUCUGGAACUGUAAUUUAUGGAAACCUCAAUUUCUCUGUUCUAAUAAGGUUUUGCAUAAUAAGGAUGAGGAUACAAUUACUAAUUCCUGCAAGAGGUUUUGUGAAUUCCUCUGUGCUAUGGUUUGGGUGCCCAAAGAAUAGGUGGAAGAAGGGACUUUACUUAGCUGACACAAGGGAAGUGGGUCCGAGAAGUAGUUUGGGCUCCCUGAAAAUAAAUCUGCAUGGUUCCUUAAGCUGCUGACAACAUGCACUUCAUGUGGAAGUCAUUUAUCAGCAACUCACCAAAUGAUACUUCAGACAGAAAUAGCCCCACAAAAUUUUACCUAGUUAAAACCAAACUGAACCCAGAUUCCUUCUUUUGGGACUGUAGUCUGCGCUUAAGAGCAUAAAUAAUAAGGUUGAAUGAAAAAUAAGUUGACACAGAUUUGUUGUGGAUAUCAUAAAGUUGACUUUGGGAAGGGGCUCACUCUCAUAGAUGUGUAUGAAGUUCACCUGAAUGGAAGCUACAUGGUAGCUUUGGUGCCAAACCAAAACAAGAACAGAGUUUUGAAAACUACCAUUUAACUUACUCCCUCUGCAGCAGCCAAGCCUAACCUAGCACACUGCUUAGCCAACGGUGUCUGCUAUUCAGCUCAUUUCACUUCUAAAUGUUUGGCUCAAAAAGAGAUUCCCCCAGAUCAUCAGGUAAACUGAGGGUUAGAACAUACCGCAUGAUGACAUGCGGGAUGGGGCCAGAUCGUCAGUGGUGGCAGUACUGAUGCUCAAGUCUUCCCAGACAUCCCUAGACUGCUGGGAACAAGGCAUGUGUCCCACUAAGUCCUGAGCAUGGGAUUGGAAGGCAAGGAUAUUUCUAAGACUUAAGAAGCUUGCUUUUAGCAAGUGAGACAAUUCAAAAAGCCUUAGAAUGCUUACAUUGAAUGCUUACAUCCUUUCUAUGCCUUACUGAAGAGAGCAGGCAGACAUACAGACAGACACACCUUUUAUUCACCCAGUAUCAUUAGGUUUUGUUCAGAGACACACAUUAAGCUGUCUUGCUGUGUCUUGCUAGGGACACCCGCCCUCUGGUGGCUCAUGUGAAAAUAACACCCAACGAACUGAUACAAUUCGUUUUAAAGUCAAGCUAGUUCUUUAAAAAGAAAAUAUAUUAAUUAGCCAUUUGUUGUUAUGAACUAAGAAACACGCACCCAUUUUUUUUCUUGACGCAAUGUUAUUCUCCUAUGAUGAUUAAAAAAAAAAACUUACCAGCCUGUGAUUUUCUGUUCAUUAAAAUUAUUUGUUAAAGGAGCCAAACUGAUUCAAGAGGAAAAUCCUUAACUGCAGAGUUAGGUUAGCAAGAACCAUGCCAAACCAUCUUGUUCAAGAUGGGGCUUGAAUACGUAAAAGGAAAGUGCUCAACAUAGAUGUAAAAUAAGCUAUCUGGGCUGUAUUGAACACAUUUCCUAACAUCUCAACUGAAAUUUCAUGUUGUGACGUAGAAGCCUGCUGAGGGUGACAGUCUGUAAGACCAAGUGGCUUGCUUCAGAAGUUGCUAACAUUUGCAGAGAGAGACAUAAGCAAGGGGCAAGCGCGAGGUACAAAUGUGAACCACAUGUCCCGGUACAAGACGCUGCUGAAAGGAGGACUUUGCUCCGCUGUAAGCAGUGCCUUAAAACUGUUUUCAAUAGACACAAAAACUGCAAGCAUCCAUCACUGCCCCUCCCCUCCCGCCUUCCCCAACUUGUUCAAAGGAUGCUGUGACCACUCUCUGACCCUUCCUGUCUGGCCGCUCUAUAGAGCGCUCAGUUGUCAUGGAGCUUUUGUGACCCAGCUGCUUCAAACACAUCGCAAGACCAUCAACAGCUAUUUAGACUCUCAAAAUCGAGCACCGGAGAGCUGCCGGGAAGCACAUUUCUUAAGAGAGUUAACAGAACAUCUCCGGAGAAGUGGGCAAGGCAGGCGUAGGCGGAACACAAACACACACAGACAUUCCCGAUUCCUGCCCCAGGAGGGAUGCCGCCAGGUACUCAGGAGCCACAGGUUGGCUAGCUGGAUGAAUAGAUGGAGAGCCACCUGCCAGCUCCACAAAGCCGUGAAUGCCAGUGCAAGCUGCGAGCACCAUUACAGAAAGCACAGUGCCAGGUGUCCGGAAAGGGAAGGCACGUUGUCAUGGCUGACUCCCUGCUUCUAAAGUCACAAGGACCCCUGGCUUCACAGUCUUUCUUUGUUUACUUACUUUCAAAGAACCACAAAUAAAUUUUGAAGUGAAUGGAAGUUGAGUUGUUAGAGAAAAAAAAUAUAUGAUAUGUUAUAUCAUAUAUUAUAUGCAUCUUGUUAUGUAUUUUUCAAGUUAUAAUCUCAAGCUGAGAGAGUUGUAGUAAACACUCCACUGGACUUCAGCACAGUGUCUGAUAAACGCUGUGGACUUGGGAGCAUUUUAUAAGCUUAAAAAUGUUGAAGCAAGUUGUAGGUGCACCCCUGAAAUUCUAGCACUGAGGCAGGAGGACUGCCGCAAGACUAUGGUCAGCCUGCGGUAUAUAACAAGAUACAGUCUUAAAAGAAAGUCAGAAAGUAUCAAGGUACUAUUGAUGUAACCAUCAAUAUUUACCAGAUAUAAUAUGUGCAAGCCAUCAGAAACUUAAAAGUCAUUUGUUCAUGAAUUCAUUUAAAAUUAGCAGUAACUGGCUGGGGACACAGCCCAGCGAGUUAAGUGCUUGCUAUAUAAACACAAGGACUCACGUCCUCACGUGAAGCUGGGUGUGGAAGCACACAUCUGAACCCCUGAGAUCUCCUGGUGAGAUGGAAGGUGGAAGCAGGAGGCAUCCCAGGGUUACUUCAUGGUUACCUAGCCUGGUGUACACAGCCCCAAACAACAGUUUCAAACAGGGUAGAAGGUGAACAGACUCUCUGUGUCUCUGUCUCUGUCUGUCUGUGUCUCUCUCUGUCUCUCUGUCUCUGUCUCUCUCUCUCUUACACACACAUACACAUACAGUAGUAACAAACCCACAACAUGUUAAUAUAAAGAGCAUAAUAGAAAGAAAUGACUAUAGUUUCUACAACAGGAGUUUUAGAGGGGGAGGGCAGCAUUUUUCAUUUUACUAAAGUUCUCUGGUGUGUAGCAUCCUAGGAGACAGCAGAUUAUCUCAGUUGCUGCUGUACACAAUGCCUGUGUCAAGCAUCAUGUAGCUACUAGGACAUGCCAAUGGACUGUCUACUACUACAAGAACACCAGGCAGAGAAGGAAACCAUACUCCAAACUCUCAGGCAAAUGCAUUUGACCUUGUAGAUGCUGAGAAACGAGCAUCCAGGGCCCUGUGGGUGUCCAUGCCUCGUUCUAGAAAACUCUGUCUCAGAAGAACAUUUCAGUGAGCUGGGUAUCACACACCACCUGCUGACAGUGAGCACGGGGAACAGAGACUACACCAGACUAAGCUCUACACUCAUUCUUGGUAUUAAAACAUCACAUGGAAUUAACAACGCAAACCUCUCAUGUACCCACGGUGCCUAAAACGAGACUAACCAAGUCAACGUCUGUACUGAGUACCCUCUAUUUGGGACAACUGCCUAGCACAUGCACAACACAGUCUCAUUUUCAAAGUCUUGAUAAUGGAGCCUGUAAGCAUCAUGGUCUAUUCUGAGAGAGGUUUGCUAAAGCAUUGGGCCACACUGACCCUGGUGACAGUGUGAGGACACAUACUGUUAAAGCCUGCAAGGGAAAAAUGAAAAAUUGCAUGUUGCACAAAGGCGUACACUGGUGGAGAUACUGCAUUAUCUGAAAACCCUAACUCGCUCGCCAGAGCACUGGGCACUUUUCUCAGCUUACCCUGUACCAUCCCACUCCUGCCUCUUUCUGCCUUUGUGGAAAUUAAAAAAUAAAGUGCAAAGAAGGGUCAGCAAAGAUGGCUCAGUGAGACAGAGGAGCCCAUUUGAAAGCGCUGAAGGGGCCCAGGGCAUGUCUUUAGUAACUGGUCUUUGAAAAUCUAUAGAUCACUGGGGAUUCUGCUGGCUCAUCCCUUUGUCACUUUGACACAAGCCAGAGUUAUUUAGGAAGACUUCAAUUGGCCUGUGCAUUUUCUUAAUUGAUGUUAGAGGACUCAGCCCACUGUGGGCAGGUGUCACCCCUGGGCUAGAAGAAAGUGGGCAGAGCAAGCCAAAAAAAAAAGCAGCAUUCCUCUAUGGCCUGAGUCAGUUCCUUGCCUUGAGUUCCUGCCUUGAUUUCCCUGAAUGGUGGAUUCCAAGCUAUGAGAUGAAAUCAACCCUUUUCCUGCCCAAGUUGCUUUUGGUCUUGGUGUUUUAUCAUAGCCAUAAAAACCUUCACUAAGACGGGAGUGCUACUCUGGGUCAGCAGGUAUGGAUGUGAACUCACCUGAAUGUAACCGCUGAGUAAGCUCUCUAAAGGGAGCAUAUUGUUUUCUGCAAACAAACCGCGUUACCUUGUCUGGUACCUGAAACAGGAUCUUCUCAUAGUCUCUACUGUAUAAAAAAAAUGCAGUUCUCAUCAGACUCUGCACAAAAGCUUCCCUAUGGACUUCCUGGACAAGAGUAUAAAUGGAUGUGGGAUGAUGGGGCAAUGAGGCAGGGCAAUGCCAGCAGAGCAUGUGUAUCAGCGUGUAGGAGGACAGAAAUGUCCUCCCCAAACCUUCCAGCUGAUUGGCCUGAUCCUAGAGCCUUGGCCCUUCCCCAGAUUGUUUUCCACUUCUUUUCAGAUCACACUCACUUGUCUUCCCCAUCAUUCUAAUCUCCUUCUUCUUUCAGAUUUUAUUAUACAUCAUGGCUAGCAUAUUCACUACACACACACACACACACACACACACACACACACACACACACACACACACCAACAUACAACUAACAAGUUGACCAUAGCACAAGGUGCAAGUUCUUCAUCCACCCAGGGGCCAAGCCCUUCUAUUUGUCCCCUUUGCUUCAGCUGCUGGGGACAAGCACACUGGUGUCUGGCAGCAUUUAACUGAGUUAGAUGCUGCACUCUCUGCCUGGAGCACCCAACUUCGCGUCCACUAUUCUGCCUCUUGACCUCACCUCCCUUGUCACAGCGCUAUCCUCCAGGCAACGGUGAAGCUUCUGUGGAACUCCCAGGAGAAGCUAGCCUGUGUCUACAUCGCUUUCCGCCUCCUAGCUUGGAACUCUUCUAGGACCAGAUCCCGUAUCUCACUCAGAUCCCAAUGCUCAACUCUUCCCUGUGAGGAUGCUCAUUGUAUACCCAAUAAACAAGUUCAAUAUCAGAUGCAGAACAAGGGUCUGAACUCUUCAGGGUCGCUUUUCUGAGUAAGUUGAAUAUUGAGCCAACAAACAAAUAUUCAACAUGGACAAAAGGAUUGGUUCCACAAGAAAGUUAAGGCCGAAAGCUUGGGAAAGAUGUCUUUUCUGCCUUGGGUAGGAGGAUUAUUCUUAUGAACCCUGUAUACCAGUUUUGGCGAGGGAUUCAGUCACAGUCUGAGGAAAUGGUUUAGUGACUUCUGGUUAACCCUCAGUAAGACAAGGCAAGUAUCUGAUAGCUUACCUGAAUCCCAGUGAGUGGUCCCUGGGCUUGAUUGAGAGCUAGAAAGUUGUUUGUAAAAACAAGAAUGGAAAGAUAAUAUAUUCAAAAUUAUCAGCCAACACCAAAGAGAUGACUUGAAGACACAUGUAAGAGCGUCUGAGUGUGGCUUUGUUUCUGAGAAGGUCUCUCUGUGCAGAACAUCAGCUCAGGAUCCCACGUCUCAUUUUAAACAAUGAAAAGAAAUUUUUUGUUUUUUCCUUGACAAAUUGAUUGAGGGGCUGCUGUCUCAAGGGCAUUUAGGAAUCUCAGAAUACGCUGGCUGUUGGAGAUUGACAGGUUCCUGUUUGCACUUUAAACUCCUGGAGACGCUGUGUUCAGCAAAGAGGUUGUGUAAGGGAAAAGGCAAGCACACUGCUGAGUAUGUACCACAGCUGCCUUCGAAUGAAUGUCGUACAGGCAGAUGAGCAUCUGGCUCCAAGACCUGCUUAGCAGAACAUAGAGGACAAGAAUACAACUAAGGCCUGCAACAGGGGAGAGACACCUGGUAUGUGCAUGAGAUUGGCAGAAAAGAUCUCUUAACUGCUCUCAUCAACAGAAAGACCAGGUUACCUCAUGUCCCUGACCUAUAGGGUCACCCCCGUUACAUGCCUAAUCUUUGGACUGCCACAGCACGUUAUGAUGGUUCCUGGAUCUCUUCCUGUCAUGGGUAACAGACGAGUGUCUCCAUUCCCCACCCCCAGCUGGACUUGGAAAUUCCUGAGAAUGGAUUCUCCUAAAUACCUCUAGUGAUCCUCAGCCCCAGAAGACCUCACAAAGCAUAUGGGAAGAACAAGUUUGAGUUCCUACAAGGUCAUCAUGUGGGCUGUGUUGUGGGCAUCUGGAUAGGGCAGGGAAGUAUGUUGAGAUGACUCAGCCCAGUCUAUGGAACAACUUGCAGAAGGGGUGAUGAGCUCAUAGCAUCUUGGGAACACGGCUCCUUUACCUUAUGGAGGGGUGACUACCUGCUUCAAAAUUACAGAGGAGGGCUCGUCAAAGAGCAAAAGCCUGUCAGAUUUCUUAGAACAUAUUCUGCGAGUGGCCAAUAAAUCAUGAAAAUAUUUACAAAAACAACCAUCUUGAAGGGUUAAAAAAAAAACCCUCUAGCACACUCUAGUUAGGGGUGAUCAACCUUUCCCAUAAGAGUAGGGCUAAAAAGAAAAUAUAUUUUGUGGGAUAUGCAAAAUCAAGACUAUCACACUGUCUUAUAUAUUCAUAACAAACCCUUAGAUCUAGAAUGCACCUAUUGUUUUGUAGGCCCUACCAAGAUGAGCUAUAAGCUGAUAUGGCUUGUGGACCAUAACUGGCCAACAUGGACAUUUGAGCUUGAGAAAUGGUUCUUUGAUACUAAUAGGAGGAUGAACCUGCGACCCUCACCACUCCACCCAGCCAUUCCUGUUCAACCCUAAUAGGAUCUGUGGCUGAAGGAGUCAGAGUAAGGUGUCCGGUAACACUCAGAGUGCACCUGGCAGCAAUGAGAUCAGACUUUGAUGGAACCCUAAGGCAGGUAGGACCUUGCCUGUCCAUUAGGAAUGCUGAUGUAUGCAGCAGGCUUUACAGACUAUCUUCUUGUUGGGAAAGGGCUGGGCCUGGUAAGGAAAACAGCUCAAGAAACACAAUGUCCUCACAAAAUGAUCCUAAAUCAACACAUGUGAAGAGCGAGACCCUGCCAGCAGGACCGCACAUGACUGGCCAGUAUUCAUGAUGUGUCUAAUCUUAUUCUUCUGGACGAUUCUCCUUUAACAUGUAUAGUCAGAAGGCUGCUGGGCCCACAGGAGUCUCUUCUGAGUAUGGGGGAUAAGAACUAUCUUCAGAUCUGCCUCUGGUCUUUGGGCUUAGGUAAUGUGAUAGAUGUGUAACAGGCUCUGUUCUAUAUAUGAUGUAUGGAGGUGAGAGAGAGGCUCCGUGACCCUGCCUAGGCUCCUAGCCCACCUUGCCAGCACUCACAGACCUGAGGGAAUCCCAUGGAUGUGCUUCAACCCUUGGGCAGCAAGAAAGCCCAGGUGGGAGAUGAAGGGACAAAUGAAUCAUGGGGACAGAGGAGAGAUGGAAAGUAGAGGUCUGGGCACGAGUGGCAGGAACCCAGACAGGAGCUCAACACCUUAGGUUCUGAAGAACUUAUGCCAUGCUUAUUAUCAGUAUAGAGGGCAGACUCUGAGGAGAGAGAAAGGUAAGAGACAGGGCGGUCAAAGCACAAGAGAGGGAAAAGGGAGAGACUUUGAGGACACUUGAAAACACUCCUGGUGCGUCCUGGAGAUUCAUAGAGUAACAAGCUUGUUAAGAUCGCCCAGAGGACAACCAAAAGCUACAAAACCAUGGUGGAGGGAUAAGGGGGGUGCGGGGAGCAGAUAUGACCUUAUCUCGUUAUCUUACAAAUUAAGUUAGGUGUUUCAAACCAGAUGCUGGACCACUGUCAUCAUCUUCAAACAAGUUCUAAUUAAAUGGUAAUUCUGAAAAUCAGAAACAUUUAAACAUCAAUAGUUGCAAUCUAAAAUACAGGUUAAAAAAAAUCUUUUGUCGAGUUCCUAUGCUCUGGUUCACAGGACUUUGCAGUCCCAUGUGGCGAACCUGAGUAGGAGCAGGGCAGAGCUGUUCCCUGCAACUCCAGAGCACAGAGCACCAAGGUGCCAGGUCUAUGCACAUCUGGCUCUUUAUUAUGAUAUAAACACAAGGCCUCUGUCUAAGGCCACAGGUGGCAGGUAGGCCACUGGAGGGAGGCUGUGUCUUCUGGGAGCUCCUUCCAAGGGAGAGUGUGAGAACUUCACUGUUCCCAGCCUGGUUCUGUCAUAGCCCAGGGCUGCAGAGAGUGAGUGGCAGAGGUGUCUGCUCAUGAUGGAAAAUGAAGCCUUGUUUCACCCUUCCACCCAUUCACUCAGCAUCCUUACUCAUCAGCCACUGUGAACCAGACACCGUUGUUUAGGGAUUAAUACAGCACACGCCGUCCCUGUCCUCAUGCUUCCAUGGGGUACAGGCUGCUUUGGCUAAGAUGACGGAUGCUUUCCCAGUUGUCAUACACUGUCCACUGCUCCUCAGCCUAGGUGAUACGUCUGCAGUGUCUCACCCUGUGAGGUCUUCCCAUUUCUCCUUCGUGACGUCCAGUUAUAGGGAGCUGCUAUGAUCGUUCAUCAGCUGCCCCAGGAUGUCUGGAACCUUCCACGUCACCAUCCAUAUGUAAACUGGCACAUCUUCUCUUGCCUUUGCAUGCUGCAGCCUGAACUCCAUCCUUCAGCUUCCACACGUAUAUUAAAGCCAACUCCGGUUUCAUCCUCAAAACUGGUCUGAAGCUCCACAGUAUCUGCAGGUAUUUGCAUCCUACCACCUUCUUGAGGCCGGGCCUUUUAAUUCAACCAUUUAAUUCAAGUAGGCAAAGAUGAAGAAGCUAAGGGUUUAGGACAGAAUGGCAUCCGGGGCCAGCCUUAACUAGGAGGAGAACUUUAAGUUCCUGAAGUCAAGGACCAACACAAGGAAGAACUUGCUGAGCAGAGAUGGUCCUAGAGCCUCCAGACAUGAGGCAUAGGCAAAGCCCUCCAGAACUGUGCACUUGAAGGUGGAUGGAGGAUGAGAAAGGAGCGAUGCUUGCGGAAGAGACUGAUUGUAGAUGCUAGGGGGAAAGGUUGGACAGAGAGAAAGGGUAGGGCUGUGGAGAUGGCUCAGCCAACAAAAGCUUGCUAUGUAAGUAUGAGAGCCUGACUUUGAACCCUAGAAUCCUGUAGAAAAGCUGGGCACAGUGGCAUGUUAUCCUAAUCCCAGUGCCGGUGAGGCAAAGCAGGCAAACUCCCGAGACUCACUGGAUAUCUCACCUAGCCAAACUAGCAAGAUCCGAGCCAGUGAGACUCAGUCUCACUCCCCAACCUCCACAUCCCAACAUGGCUUGUGUCUUGAGGAAUGAUACUCAAGGUUGCUUUCUGAUAUCACAUCCAUAUGUGCACAUGUAGAGACACACAAACAUACACACAUACACACAGGCACAUAAGCAAACACAUACACAGAAUGGAAUGCACUAGGUUAGAGGCAGAGCGAGCUUAAAUAUGAAUUUUGAACUGGGCACCCAACUGGCAAAUGGCUUUGUGUUUUCUUCAGUGGCUCUCAGAUGGAGUCAGAGCUCCAGUGGAUAUGUUGACAGCUUUCCCCUUUGGCCGGAUGCUGGAAUUCAGGACAUGUCUCCAUAGUAGACUGUUCUUUCUAUGAGCUUGGAAUUGAGUCAUGGCCCACUCGCUUGCUCAUCUGUGAGGCUUGAAGAAGCCAGGUAACAGUGCGGGGUGGGGCAGGCAUUAGCUGGGUGACUUGGGCAUUAAACAGAAGCUGGCUCGGGAGUUUAAAACAGCUCUGCUCGGAAGAUAAACAAGAAGCACUAAAGACACUCACUUGGGGAAAAAGCUGCCAACUGAGGCUUCAUAAUUCACUUCUACCUAUGAGGUUCAAGUACCAUCAAGUCUGAAAUUACUCGCAAAGCUUCUACCCUGGAUUUACUUUCUAUAUAAAACAACACUUCACAGAGUAAGUUAGGAGAUGCCACUGAGACCAGUGAUGUGUUUCCAGAGGGAGAUUCUGCCAAUGAAUCAGCAACACUAAUUUUUUUUAACAUUCUCUGGGAAAAUAUAACAAUUUAGUAUGUUUGUAAAACUGGAUAAGCACCAGUGAUGUUGUCCUUAACCUUAAAAAAACAAAAACAAAAACAAAAAAAACCCAAAAAAACAAACCCAGAUAUAUGUGUGUCUAAAUGCUAAUAAAAGUUUCCUACCCUAUAAAUGGGGCAGAGUUGAACACUAGAUCACAGGCAACACACUCGCUUUAGGAUUCUGGUCUUACGGCCAGAGUCCAGAGGCAGGGAAAACUGAAGUGACUUAGAACAGUCUCUGGUAAGAUACAUUUGAUAUUAGUGGGCUUGCUGAAGCGAAACAGUAAUACCAGAGAGAUACAAAGGCUUGAAAGCCAUUAGAGUCGUCCAAAUGGUAGGAGGCAUGACAUCUCUCAGGUGAGCUGCCUGUUAGAAAGCCAACGAGUGGGUGCUCUAAAACUACAAUUCAGGUUGUGGAAGGAAGAGAGGGAUGGGAAGGUCCUGUUUCACCAUCUCACUUUCCCAUCAGGGGAGACCCCCAGGACAGUGAAUUCUGCCUAACUUGCUAUGGACUUCCCUUCAAGUGAGCCAUGUUAUUACAGGAAAUGGACCCGAUUUCACAGGUGUGUGUGGAUACUGAGUACUUCUUCAAAGAUCCCCCCCCCCCAGUCAAACCACCCCAUCAACUAAUUAUUACCGAUGCCUUGUGAUCUCUAGAGCAGUAAGGCACCAUCAUUUGAUAUACCAUGGAGUGGUAUAACUAAGGAGGAAACAUGCAGGGGAUGAGGAAUGAGCUACAAGCACACUGUCUUAUUAGCAUCUUUUUUUUUUAAAGAUGUUAUUGGGUGUAUUAAAAUAAAAUCAAAAAUCAAAAUAUUAAGUAUGCAUCUUAAACACUUCAGUUGUUAGUACCUUUCUUGUAAGAGCAAACAAAACAAGUCCAAAGACAUUCUCAACCUAAGUUAAGAAUUUUGAACGGAGCAUAAAUAAUGAGUACCCUCAGUACCCUCUUCCAUUGUCUAUGAAGCUGGCCAUGUGGGCUGAGAAAAGAACCAUGGCCCAGGGUAGUGCAAGUGGGUGGAAAAACAGAUUGCUUCUGGACAUGAGAAACUCUCCUGAUGGAGAGGUGGGGAGGCUCAUGGAAGGAGGAGGCUUCCAAGCCUCUCCAGUCACAUACUGAGCGAGCCACAUACUGAGCGAGUCACAUACUGCGUGUUCUCCAUGUCUGUGCCUGAAGUAUCCCCUACCCACUGCCCCAAGAGCCGCUGUCUCCCAUAGCAUUUCUUCCUUACUCCUGCCAGCUAUGUCGUGACAGCACUUUGGCAGGAUUCUUGACUGAUUCUGAUUGGCACAGGCUCCAUCUUCCAGCUCCAUGCCAACCCCCUGAAACGCAGCAGGCUUUUUGUGGUCCCUUUUAAUUCCGUGUUCUUGCACAGUCUCCCCCCUCCCCAACCCCAUGCUGGUUACCCAGGAUAUUAAUUCUGUUUUUCAUUGCCGUGGUAAAAUAUCUGAUAUAACCUAAGGAAGAGAGAGCCCUUUUUUAUUCACAAGUUGGCACUGCAGUCCCUCAUAAGGCAGCUAGCCAGGAAGCAGACCGAGAGGGAUGCUGGUACUUAGCCUGACUUCUCCUUUUCAUUCACUCCAGGAUCCCAGUCCAUAGGCCAGUGCUGGCUGAGUUUAGGGAGGGUCUUCCAACCUCAAUGAACACAAUCUAGAAAGUCCCUCAUGGACAUACCCAUGGGUUUCUUCUCUUACAUGAUUCUAAAUGCUGUAAAAGUUGUCCCUACUUAUCAUUACAUUCAGACACACAGGCAGACCUUUACCUCCCUUCCCCCACCCUUCCAACAAUCUAUAUUUUGUUAGGUCUUAGUAGAUCACCAUAGGCCCUGCUGGCCUCACGUGCCGGCUCCCCUCUUUCUUCUUCUAAAUAAUGGGGUACAUCUCAGAAAUCACUACCUUUCUACACCACAGCAUAAUGCCUAACGCAGAUGUCAACUUUCCCUCCCCCUCUAUCAUCUCUGUGCACUCUCAUGGAGAAUAUAGCAAUUGGAACCGUCUGGUGCCAUCCGAAGAUACCUCUUAUCGACAGACAAGCAAGGUCUAGCAAGGCUGGGCACCUGUGAUUCAGAGUCAGGAUGCUCUGUUGCCAAUCAGGCGCCAGCACAGGCUGUCUCCUCCUCAGCCAACAUUUCAUCUAGCCAUACAGGACUGAAGAAUUACACAUAUUCGAUUACUCUGCAGAGGGUAUGGCUCCUAGAACCAGUGGCAGAUUUUUAGAUUUCCCUCUUUCUCUUCUUUUCAAACUCCUGUCCAUGCCCAUUGGGGGUGACACACAUAAUAUUUAGUUUUUUUCCAUCGAGAAUCUCAGGGUUUUAGGAAGCCCACAGGCACAUAAGCAAACUGUCUAAAUAAGCUUUCAACGAGCCAUGACAGAUGCAGGAAAAACGACAAGACAAAGAAUUAUCAGAGAAUUUGUCUUUCAAAAUACUAAAUGCUGAUCUAAAUCUUAUUUUCCCUUGGGGAAAUAUCAUGGCCCAAAAUAAUUAGGAGAGAAUUAUUCAGAUUUUGGAUUGAAGCUCAUGGGUGCAGUGAUGGACAAGGAACAGGAGACAAUAUAAUUGGUAACCACCCUGUGAAGAUGUUCCUGGUGCUUGUCAACUCAAGCUGGAGAAGCCGUGGGGACACCCGACAGGACAUGUCUACACCUGCUGUACCAUCACAGAGAACAGCCAUCACCAUGGCUACCACAUCCCAGUUUCCAAGGCUGGAAGAGACCUUCGCAUUCAUCUUGAGAAGCGGGGCAGCUGGAUGAGCAAGGCUGAUUUCUACGGGCCUUUGAACUUCUGAUUCUCCUAUACUUCUUUGAGUCUCAUUUUAAGCCUGGUCUUUGCAGAGGUAGGGGAGGAGAUCACAGAUAAUUAAAGCUGAAAAUAUUCUCAUUUUGUGAUGGGGCUAACAAGUGAAACUCCGGGUAAUGAUGUAAUCCAACUUGUCAAAAAGGAAAAUGAAAAGAGAAGACAGAAGGCAGGACAGAGCCUGGGGACCUGUGUGCCAUGUCAUCUUCUAAUUAACUAACUGAUCCUUUAAACUGUCAAACUCGGCGAGACACUCUAUGGCCUGGCGUCUGAUUAAUAUUCAUACUUAGGCACAGGAUGCUCUGAUUUAGGUCCCAGUGGUUGUAGUUAAACAUCAGUCUUUAAAAAAGAGAGAGAAAGAAAGACCUGCCUGGCAAUCGUAAGUGUCCAGGUUUUACAUUCAUAGGAAAAUGAAAGGAGACCACCCUGAGGUUCCUGACCCACAGCAAGAACAAAUCCCCAUGGAUCCAUAUUGAUCUGUGAGUUAUGAUGAGGACUUGUAUAUUGAAAAAAUAAUUAUUUUGUUUUUUCUUCUGGCAGCCACCUUGUUAAAUCACACUUGGUGCAUUAUUGUUAAAUACACGAAGAGCACCCGUAAACUAACAUAGCACUUGGUAAUAUAGCCAAGCUUUUGAUUUCAAACAAAAAUAAUUGAAUAUAUAAUUUAACCAAAUCAAGCUUGAUCAUUUAAUUGAGCUGUCACUAGUAGUAACCUUGACUUUUGGUUCAUAUAACUUGAGCUCCAAACAGAUACUAUAAUACUGAUGUUUACUGACACGCAAAAGAUGUUUGAGCCUGGUGUGUAAGAUGUGCCUGUAGCUGCUGAGGAAACAUGGUGGACAGUGACAAAACCAUGCACCUUAGGAGGGCUUUUCCUUUACUGGCUUUACUCUUUAUUUAUUAAAGUCCUGACAAAGAUGAAAACAAGUCAGCCCAAUCUAUUGCAUUUGCUUUUAGGAACUACUUCUUAAAAUUAUUUUUGGAUUAAACAAAUAUGAUAUAAGGUAAAUCCAUGGUGUAAAUCCAUUCUAUAGUGCCCCAGGACUAUCCUGGCAAUCCACCAAUCCCAUCAACUCUACUAUCCUGUCUCCUGUAGAGCUUAUUCAACAGUCUCAGCUACUGUUAUGUUAUUGCCAAACUAUUUCAACUUACAGUAAAAAAACUGGGGAACACAGGUAAUAAACACACAAACUGAGAUUGUAAAUCAUAAACAUACCAACUCUAAAUGAUAUGAUUUGGGGUAUUCUCUGUAAUCCACAGACAUUGGACCCUAAGAAAUAUUAAUACACUCCAGUCAUUUUCAUUGAUGGGAGAUGGCAUGUAGACAUAAUGCAGAGAUUCCUAGUUCCGACACAGGGGAGAGGGGGUUCUAGAUUGAGCAGACAUAAAGGUCAGGCUGGUUCAACUCCAAGAGCAAAUUCCUUCAGGCUUGUUUGUAUUUCUACUAACCAGUACAGGAUGAGGAGGACAACCAUCCACCAAUACCAUCAUGGCUGCUCUGGGUCACGCCCACCUGCAAAAGCCCAGCUCUGAUGGGUUGCUCAGGAAGGAUUGGCGAGUGUCUCAACUUUUUCUGCUCUCUUGGAGGAGGCCAUUAAUAUCAAGGACCAGAAAACUCCUCCCUGGCACUCAGUCAUCUCUGGGAUUUCAAGGAUUUCUUACACUUUUAUAAAAUCAAAAACAGAAACCAACAAAAAAUAAAAUAAAAUAAAAUAAAAUAAAGAAGCUGUCACAAUCCAAAUGUCACACAUACCCACCUCUGCUCAGAGUGGAGUCCCCAGAGGACCUACCGUUGUCACUGCUGGUCCAGGCCUGUGAGCUCCCUGUCAGGAGGGAACCACCACCAAGGCAGGGGCAUCUCACUUCAGAGGCAGUGUAGGUACCCUGCUUGCCAGGUGAUACCCUGUGCUGUGUUCCUCUGAGCUGCAAAUACCUCUUGAGGUGGGGAGCAGGCUCCCGGGACACCGAAACUGGCUCAGCUCCACAGGCAAUAAAGUAAUUAAUGGUGUCUUUCAGGGCAAGCGCAGUAAAAAAAAAUAAUUGCUCUCCAAUUUUUUUUACUGGUAAUGAAUGAUUGGUACAGUCAAUAUUUGUGUUGUUGGGAGUGGAUGUGUGGAUAAAUGUGUGAGUGGGAUGGAGAGGGAAGUCUUAGGGAUGCAAAUACUCAAACCAGACUAUCAGUUCCCUGACCGACUCUAAACUGCAGAUCACAAACACCAGAGAACAUGGGGCACGGAAGACAGCGCACCGCCUAAUCCAACUGAGGCCAAAGUCUGACACUUAGGACACAGUGCAAAGAUACUGCAAAUAGGGUCAACUAAAGAGAAUAAAUAAGUGGGAUUUAUAAAAAAAAAUGCUUAAGCUAAAUUGGCUUCAGAGGCCAGGCUGAAUUACCAGCUACCUGGCUCUCGUGCCUCGUCUAGCACCACGCUCACUGUGUCAAAACAUAGCUCCCUCCCGGUUCUCAAAGGAGCACACAGCUUGCUGACGCCAGGCGACUCCACCCCUUGUAAUCACUUCAUGUUCUCUAUGAGGUCAUCAGCUUUCUCUCUAUUGAAUCUCACAGACACAGGAGCUUCUCACCACGCAGAGCUCUAUAAACAACAGAUUGUAAGAUAAACACGCUCUAGCUGCUCCUCGGGAAGUUGCUUCGCUGCGCAGUAGACGCCCCGCACUCCUGUGUAAUACGGCAAAGGACACUGUGAGAAUUGAACCGAGUCAGAUCGGUACCAGGACACAGAGAAGCGGUCUGGAUUUGGGGGGUGCUUGCCAGAGGAUUUGGUGUAGCCAUGGACAUACUGAUCCCAGGCCAUAAUAAUAUUUUGACUCUGAUGGAAGAGGACACAUGGCUUGCUGGCUACAGGAAAUAAAAAAAGAAAAUUUGAUCUUCAACUAUCACCCCAAAAUUUGGGUGAAUCUUGGUUAGCUGUGGAGAAGCGAUUCCAGGACUCUUGGUGUAUACCAAUCUGUGGAUGCUAAGUUCCUUACAUUAAAUAUGUAGUAAUUGUGCAUAAUACCCUCUACAUUUUCUCCUGUAUACUCUGAUGACUGAUAUACUGAGCUGUAAUGCUACACAAAUAGUUGCUACACAUGCUGUUUAUGAGACAACAAGAAAAAGUCCAUACAUAUUUAGUACAGAUCCAUCUGUGUGUGUGUGUGUGUGUGUGUGUGUGUGUGUGUGUGUGUGUGUGUGUGUGUGUGUAGAUCAAAUCCAGGGCUUUGCAGACUCUAAGAAGCAUUCUAUCAUUGAGAUAGACCUUCACCCAGGGAAGCACAUAUGUGUGCAGACUCGCGUGAGUAUAGACGUGUGCACACCCUGGCGUGUGUUUAAAGGCCAGAGGACAAUCUCGGGUGUCAGUCCUCACCUUCCACCUUGCCUCCAUCCGAGGCUGCGUCUCCAUGGUUUGCUGCUCCUCCUUACUCCCUGCUAGCUGACUGGGAAGCCCCUCAGGAUUGUCUUCUUUCUUCUUCCCCUCAUGGUAUAAGAACUGGAGCUACAGAUGUGUGUACAGCUGGGCCUGCAUAGUUUGGUUCCAGGAUUAGAACUGAGGUUCUUAUGCCUGUCUGGUAAAUGCCUUAUCCAUUGAGGGAUCCCCUUGGCCCUGGAUUUGGUUUUUUGUUUGCUUUUGUUGUUUCUUGUGUCUGGCACGAUCUGUGAUUGGCUCACUGCAUGGAUAGGUUACAGAGAGGCAGGGUAAGAGACUAUCCAACUGCAAACAAAGACAUAAUAAAGAUGCUAGGCUAGUAGUGCUAUCUAUAGCCACAGUGGGGUGAGUCUAGGGUUUUACACUGGAACAAACUUCACUGCCACCAACAUGAUGACAAGCUUUUGAUGUUUCCUCCAGGGACCUGCAUAUUAGUUAUAUUCCAGAGUUCUUUAAAAUUAGCAUGGCAGUAUAUACUUUAAGGGUAGAAAUGUAUUCUAUUUAAGUUGGCUUUUCCUAUCACUCCACUAACGGAUCUGAACAUGUAGAGAUUAUGACGGAAACUCCAUGCUCACCAAAUAACAGCAUAUAAGGCCAAGGCACAUCUCUGGGAACAGGCUUCUAGAAUCAUCUAGCUGGUGCUCUUAUUCACAAACGGAUUUUAAUACUUAUAAUUUGAACACAUAUACUUCCUUUUCUUUCUCUGUAGGGUACUCCAUUUUACUUGGUUCCAAAUGUUAAGCAGCCAUGGCACGAUCUCCAAACAAUACUCAUGUGCCACUAAGUGGAUAUGGAUGAGUAAAUGUCUUUUAUAAGAUAUUCACGAGGGAAGGGCUCUCGCCAAGCUUUCAAAUGAAAUUCUUUAACUGGCCACAGCUCUGUUGUUUUAAAAGUCAUCUGCAGUUGUCCUUAACUUGUUCUUCUGCAUAAUUUAUUGGGCAGCUGUCAAAUAUGUGUGUUGCCCCCCUGUCUUGUAACUGACAUCCGUACAGGGAUAAGUGAGAUAGGAAAUGGGCUAUGAACAAACGGACACUGGGCCAUUGAAUAAAUGGAAGACAAAGAGAGCAAGGAUGAGAGACAAGGUAGGGAGAAGAAAGCUCUCUCUUUUCACCAGCAGGUGGGCUCAGCAGCGAAACCCACAGCUACAGAAACGGACUUACUCCAUAGAAUGACCUGCUCUGCACCACGGCUACCAUGGUCUUUCUUUCCAAGCCAUAAUGAUUGCGCCCUACCUUAAAGAUGUAUACCACUGACAUAUACUUUUAUGCAACCCAAAGGUUUUACAAUGCCAAGUGUAUUGAUACUAUAAUGUAAACCAUAGCUCGAAGACCUCCCUUAGAGUCCCUGAAGAGAAUGCCUCAUUCCUGUAAGUGGGGUCAACUAAUGCAGUUCAUAAGGCUCCCUAUGCAGUCGAGGAUUGAUCUCCAUGUAAAGGCGCGCAGCAUCGGGUCUAAGCUAACAUGCUCAUUCUGUUUGAUCUCCUUCCAUUUCCUGCAUUGUACUCAGCGCCUCUUAUCCCUGUCCAACAUCAACAGGUCAUUCAGAGAGGGGUCAGUGUCAGCCAAUAUAAAUAACCAUUAUAAAACCUCCAGCAUGCUUUAAAUCAACAAGCAAAGUGGCCUAUGCUGUUUAAAGUAUAAAUUCCAAAUAUUUUCAUGGCAGAGGGUAGGCAAGGUCUACUAAAAGCACAGUUAAAAAAAAAAAAAGAAAAUUAAGAAUCAGAGUUAAAUAAUCCAGUCACAAUGAGCCAUUCCAGUGCAUGGUUCCCUAUUUUAGAACCAGUUUGCAAACAAAUGUCCAUAUAGCUUUUCCUUCCCCUCUUGGAGAAGAUAGCCAGCUUGGGUUUGAGGACCACAGGCGCCCGUGUUUCACAAGAGUUUCACACACAUGGCUGACAUUACCACCAUGUUUAUAAACCCAGGGAGGCUCAGCCAAGACUAUAACAGCUAGAGAACUGGAAGAAACUCAGAGUGUGAGGAGGAGGUGACAGACCCCCCUCCUGCCUCUUUCUUUCCCUCACCAAAGCCUAUGGAUAAAAGGAGACCCUGUAACUACCACUAAGCGUGUCCAGAAAACGGUCCUUGGGAGGCAAUCCUAGGGAGGGAGCUGAUGGGAACAGGCCAGGACUUACUGACAUCUGUCUUGUGAAGAAUACAUGAAGCCCGUCCUAAUUCCACAUUCCUCUCCUUAUUUUUCCUGUCUUUCUUCUGUUGCUCCUAAACUCGGUCUGUAUGCUCUCAGUGCACCAUGAGCCUGGUAAAACAGUUCCUACGCAUGCUAAGUGGGACACAACCAUGCAGAACGUGCAAAAGGAUGACUAAAACCCUGACAGAGCAUUAGCUUUAUCAAUCAUGGAAAAAGUUGCCUGGGUGUGGUGGCACACAUCUUUAAUCCCAGCACUUGGGAGGCAGAGGCAGGUGGAUUUCUAUGAGACUGAGGCCAACCUGGUCUGCAUAGCAAAUUUUAGGACAGCCAGGGCUACAUAGUAAGAGCCUGUCUAAAAGGAAAAAAAAAAAAAAAAAAAGAGGCUCUAGAAUAAGUUUGGAAAGCAAGGCUCAUUUCACAGAUAACUAAAUAUAAUCGUUUUAAUAACCAUAAGCAAAUGAGUCCACAAUACCCAGGUUGUGUUUAACCUGAGGCCUGGGCUGUUUAAAGUCAAGGUUAGCUAUGAAUGUAACUCCAGGCAAAAUUGUGAAACUGACUCAAAACUGUGUGUGUAAGUGUGUGAGCUGUUUUGUAACCUACUGUGCAUAGUUCUCAAGCGUGAACUCUACAGGGGAAAGCUUCAUGUUGCAAUCUCAAAGGGUUAGACAAGUUUGAAAGAGGAUGUUUAUAAAUUCCAUCACUGCAUGUUGUCAUACUGGCCAGGUUUAAGUCUCUUUACAUGCUUUUUACCUGUUUCCAUUUUGGUAGGGCUGACUUAUCGUUCCUUGGAAAUGUGUCUUGAUUUUCUAUCCCUUUCUGUAGCAGCUUUCUCCUGGAAGCCCAGCCUGUUCUGCACAUUCUCCUUUGAGCUAUCUGCUCAGGAAUGCACACGUGCUUCCUGGUGGACUGAAUGCAUAUCUUUGGGAGUCUUCUUCCAGACUGUGAGUGACUCCACGGGGCAAGAACCUCUGGUCCGUGCUGAUAUUCCCAUGUGCAGACAGAAAGGUGAGGGAACGACUCACGAUGACUUAGAGCUAGAACCAGAAGUAACUUCAACAGAUCCAGCAGCAGAUCUGGGACCCUUUAAUGCUUACAAGAAAUGGCAGGCCUGUAAGAAAUGGCCACUCUGUGAUGCCCAUGUUUAGGGAGCUACACAUCAGAUGUAGGGAGUCAGGGACUCACCAACCUGCUACCUACAGUAAUCUAUUUUUGCCUAUUGAAGCUCUCAGGAUCCAGGUAUAACAAUUUCUGUUUUUCUCAUUUAUACCACAUAUAUUUUGCUUUAAAUAUGACACCCACCCUUAGUGUUCUGCUAAGGUAGAAGAUAUAACAGUUUAGGCCAUGAUAGUCUGCCUUUCUCUAGCGUCAAGCAAAUAAAACGUAAAACAAACAGCAGGCUUUCUUUGUUCUGUUUCCUGUUUGGCCUCUUGCAAUCCAGGAGGGUUUUGAACUCACUGUAUAGCUGAGGCCAGCCUGUAACUCCUGGUCCUCCUGCCUCCAUCUCCCAAAUGUUACUGUGUGCUGUUGUAUCCUGUUAGGUUUUUUUGAACUAGGCAAAGUGUACAUUUUUUUUUCAGUAGGCCAAUUGUCCUCAUCUGACUCCUUGCUAAUUUUUCUGAUGAUAUUUGACCAGAACAGGCUGAUGUAGAUAAUUCCAUGUCCAUGGACCAAAAAAAUAAUUGAUGACAUCAGCAUAGUUAUGGGAAUUAGACUUAUUAGUUAAUUAUAAAACCAGUAGAGGGAGCACAAACCCUGCAUAAAUAAUCCUCAUUUCUGAGUGUCUUACAGAACAGCGGUUAUGGAGAUGAGAGAAAUGUGCUUGGAGACUAAACGAGAAGUUCCAGAAGAUGCUCCAAGUUUUCUGGGGACACUGUCCAUAGAGUCUCAAGUUUAAACAUUGGCUUCUCGUGGACCCAUGAUAAUGAAAGGUGGUGUGUGAAUGAGUGCAUGUGUGUAUGCAUGCAUGUGUGUUCUGUUGCUUCAUGGUGCUACACUCCCAUGUGUGUUUGUUCAUGUUGUAUGUUGUGAUUCACAGUGCUACCCUGUCCACUGGUGCAGUUAUUAUGGUCAGAGGGUGAUAGUUGCAGAGUUGGCAAACACUUUCUUAUUCAUCCCACAUCAGCAUGGGUUUCAACGUGCUUGUUCCAAACAAAAUCUUAAAUAUAAGUGAGCCAGUUUUCUUUUAAGAGACAAUAACGAUUUAUGUUUGUGGGUGACUAAAGAUUGGACAGAAGUAAAGUAGACUAGUGGCUAUUGGUAUGAAAAAAGAAAAAUAAAAUCAUUCUUUAAAAAACAAGAACCCGUAUCAAGUACUGGGUGGGGGAGGACAAGAAAGCCUAAGUGGAUGAAGACGAUUGAAAUACAUCAUGUGCACAUAUGGGAAUGUCAGAAUGAAACUCACACUGUUAUGUGUAAUUAAGAAAAACCAAUCUGCCCUAAGUACUGCUAGUGUUUGAAAUAAAUGGCCACUAUUUUUUAAUUUA